rnacentral:rRNA from 1 species
GGAUCCAGACUUCGAUCCUGGCUCAGGAUGAACGCUAGCUACAGGCUUAACACAUGCAAGUCGAGGGGCAGCAUGUUGGUUGCUUGCAAUCAACGAUGGCGACCGGCGCACGGGUGAGUAACGCGUAUCGAACCUGCCUCAUACUCGGGAAUAGCCUUGCGAAAGUAAGAUUAAUGCCCGAUGUUCUUCAUUUUUCACAUGAGAGAUGAAGCAAAGAUUAAUCGGUAUGAGAUGGCGAUGCGUCCCAUUAGUUUGUUGGCGGGGUAACGGCCCACCAAGACAUCGAUGGGUAGGGGUUCUGAGAGGAAGGUCCCCCACAUUGGAACUGAGACACGGUCCAAACUCCUACGGGAGGCAGCAGUGAGGAAUAUUGGUCAAUGGACGAAAGUCUGAACCAGCCAAGUAGCGUGCAGGAUGACGGCCCUCUGGGUUGUAAACUGCUUUUAGUUGGGAAUAAAGUGCACCACGUGUGGUGUUUUGUAUGUACCAUCAGAAAAAGGACCGGCUAAUUCCGUGCCAGCAGCCGCGGUAAUACGGAAGGUCCAGGCGUUAUCCGGAUUUAUUGGGUUUAAAGGGAGCGCAGGCGGACCUUUAAGUCAGCUGUGAAAUACGGCGGCUCAACCGUCGAACUGCAGUUGAUACUGGAGGUCUUGAGUGCACACAGGGAUACUGGAAUUCAUGGUGUAGCGGUGAAAUGCUCAGAUAUCAUGAAGAACUCCAAUCGCGAAGGCAGGUAUCCGGGGUGCAACUGACGCUGAGGCUCGAAAGUGCGGGUAUCAAACAGGAUUAGAUACCCUGGUAGUCCGCACAGUAAACGAUGAAUACUCGCGAUUUGCGAUACACAGUAAGUCGCCAAGCGAAAGCGUUAAGUAUUCCACCUGGGGAGUACGC